UACGUAGGGUGCGAGCGUUGUCCGGAAUUAUUGGGCGUAAAGGGCUCGUAGGCGGUUUGUCGCGUCGUGAGUGAAAUCCACUGGCUUAACUGGUGGCUUGCUUUCGAUACGGGCAGACUGGAGGUAUGCAGGGGAGAACGGAAUUCCUGGUGUAGCGGUGAAAUGCGCAGAUAUCAGGAGGAACACCGGUGGCGAAGGCGGGUCUCUGGGCCGAUACUGACGCUGAGGAGCGAAAGCGUGGGGAGCGAACAGG
rnacentral:rRNA from 1 species